UACGAAGGGAUCUAGCGUUGUUCGGAUUUACUGGGCGUAAAGGGCGCGUAGGCGGUCUGAUAAGUAGGGUGUGAAAGCCCCGGGCUCAACCCGGGAACUGCAUCUUAAACUGUCAGGCUUGAGUGUUGGAGAGGUAAGUAGAAUUCCCAGUGUAGAGGUGAAAUUCGUAGAUAUUGGGAAGAAUACCAGUGGCGAAGGCGGCUUACUGGACAACAACUGACGCUGAGGCGCGAAAGCGUGGGGAGCAAACAGG
rnacentral:rRNA from 1 species